CCAGACUCCUACGGGAGGCAGCAGUGGGGAAUAUUGGGCAAUGGAGGAAACUCUUACCCAGCAAUGCCGCGUGAGUGAAGAAGGUCUUCGGAUUGUAAAGCUCUUUGAUUGGGGAUGAAUAAAUGACGGUACCCAAAGAACAAGCCCCGGCUAACUACGUGCCAGCAGCCGCGGUAAUACGUAGGGGGCGAGCGUUGUCCGGAAUGACUGGGCGUAAAGGGUGUGUAGGCGGUUUAUUAAGUUAGAAGUGAAAUACCUAGGGCUUAACCCAGGUGCUGCUUCUAAAACUGAUAGACUUGAGUGCAGUAGAGGAAAGUGGAAUUCCUAGUGUAGCGGUGGAAUGCGUAGAUAUUAGGAGGAACAUCAGUGGCGAAGGCAGCGUACCGGCGCCGGACUGACGCUGAGGCACGAAAGCGUGGGUAUCGAACAGGAUUAGAUACCCUCGUA
rnacentral:rRNA from 1 species